rnacentral:rRNA from 1 species
ACUCAAAGGAAUUGACGGGGACCCGCACAAGCGGUGGAGCAUGUUGUUUAAUUCGAAGCAACGCGAAGAACCUUACCCACACUUGACAUCCUUCUUAGGGCUUUCAGAGAUGAUUGCUUUCGGUUCGGCCGGGGAAGUGACAGGUGCUGCAUGGCUGUCGUCAGCUCGUGUCGUGAGAUGUUGGGUUAAGUCCCGCAACGAGCGCAACCCUUAUCGUAUGUUGCCAUCAUUUAGUUGGGCACUCAUGCGAGACUGCCGGUGAUAAGCCGGAGGAAGGCGGGGACGACGUCAAGUCAUCAUGGCCCUUACGUGUGGGGCUACAAACGUGCUACAAUGGUAGGUACAGUGAGCAGCCAGUCCGCGAGGACGCGCUAAUCUCUAAAACCUAUCUCAGUUCAGAUUGCACUCUGCAACUCGAGUGCAUGAAGUUGGAAUCGCUAGUAAUCGUGCAUCAGCAUGUCACGGUGAAUACGUUCCCGGGUCUUGUACACACCGCCCGU